CACGUAGGGGGCGAGCGUUGUCCGGAUUCAUUGGGCGUAAAGCGCGCGCAGGCGGCUCGGAAAGUCGGGUGUGAAAACUCGGGGCUCAACCCCGGGCGUGCAUCCGAUACUGCCGGGCUUGAGGCAGGUAGGGGAGAUCGGAAUUCCUGGUGUAGCGGUGAAAUGCGCAGAUAUCAGGAGGAACACCGGUGGCGAAGGCGGAUCUCUGGGCCUUGCCUGACGCUGAGGCGCGAAAGCUAGGGGAGCGAACAGG
rnacentral:rRNA from 1 species